rnacentral:rRNA from 1 species
CAAUAGCGUAUAUUUAAGUUGUUGCAGUUAAAAAGCUCGUAGUUGGAUUUCGGAUGGGAUUUGCCGGUCCGUCGUUACGAUGUGCACUGGCCAGUCCUAUCUUGUUGUCGGGGACUAGCUCCUUGGAUUCACUUCCUGGGACUAGGAGCUGACGAGGUUACUUUGAGUAAAUUAGAGUGUUCAAAGCAAGCCUACGCUCUGAAUACAUUAGCAUGGAAUAACACGAUAGGACUCUGGCUUAUCUUGUUGGUCUGUGAGACCAGAGUAAUGAUUAAGAGGGACAGUCGGGGACAUUCGUAUUUCAUUGUCAGAGGUGAAAUUCUUGGAUUUAUGAAAGACGAACUUCUGCGAAGGCAUUUGUCAAGGAUGUUUNCAUUAA